CCUACGGGGGGCAGCAGUGGGGAAUAUUGCACAAUGGGCGCAAGCCUGAUGCAGCCAUGCCGCGUGUAUGAAGAAGGCCUUCGGGUUGUAAAGUACUUUCAGCGGGGAGGAAGGGAGUAAAGUUAAUACCUUUGCUCAUUGACGUUACCCGCAGAAGAAGCACCGGCUAACUCCGUGCCAGCAGCCGCGGUAAUACGGAGGGUGCAAGCGUUAAUCGGAAUUACUGGGCGUAAAGCGCACGCAGGCGGUUUGUUAAGUCAGAUGUGAAAUCCCCGGGCUCAACCUGGGAACUGCAUCUGAUACUGGCAAGCUUGAGUCUCGUAGAGGGGGGUAGAAUUCCAGGUGUAGCGGUGAAAUGCGUAGAGAUCUGGAGGAAUACCGGUGGCGAAGGCGGCCCCCUGGACGAAGACUGACGCUCAGGUGCGAAAGCGUGGGGAGCAAACAGGAUUAGAUACCCGGGUAGUC
rnacentral:rRNA from 1 species